UCUAUCCUACGGGACGCAGCAGUGGGGAAUAUUGCACAAUGGGCGCAAGCCUGAUGCAGCCAUGCCGCGUGUAUGAAGAAGGCCUUCGGGUUGUAAAGUACUUUCAGCGGGGAGGAAGGGAGUAAAGUUAAUACCUUUGCUCAUUGACGUUACCCGCAGAAGAAGCACCGGCUAACUCCGUGCCAGCAGCCGCGGUAAUACGGAGGGUGCAAGCGUUAAUCGGACUUACUGGGCAUAAAGCGCACGCAGGCGGUUUGUUAAGUCAGAUGUGAAAUCCCCGGGCUCAACCUGGGAACUGCAUAUGG
rnacentral:rRNA from 1 species